UAAGGGUGGAGGAGUUAUGGUACACAAUUUUGUGCAAGGUUUGUAAGCACGAAACCAUACCAUCAAUUUCCAUUAUAUACUUGAUGAUCAUAUCAUUACUAUUUCUUUGGGUAAGGCAGCAUAAUUAUGGCGAUUAGUAAUAAUAAUUACCUAUGCUCCUGUUUGUCAACAGAUAACCCCACCCCCUGCAAAUAAGUACACGCAAAAGUAUGCACACUAAUUGUUUUCAGCCAAUUAAUAAUUGUUUUAAGUUAAAAACAGUACAUAGCUUACCUACCUUCUCAGGCCUAAAUGCAAAUCAUCUAAUCGACACGUACUUACCUACUAAGAUUGAUACAGAUGAAGAAUUAGAAAAAAAAACAAUAUACCAGGUAUGUUUAUUUAGCAUAGAAUAUUCAUUUACCUAGGAACAGUGGCGUAUUUAAAUUUUUUGCGGGUUUCUUUUAUGCAGGAACUAUAUGCGCUACGCUUAGGUAAGAUCAAAAUGGAACUUGUACUAUCCGUAUGCUCCCCAGUACUUUAUCUUCGUCAUUUAAUGCGACCGCCACCCUCAUUUACAAGGACUUUAUCGUUUCGUUCCUUUCCCAAACUACAUCUCAUCAAAGAAGGACUACUAUUAUUAAGAUGAUUGUCGUUAUCCUGGGUAUAAUGAUCAUUUUACUGGAACUCAUCGUCAAGCAGGUCGAUGGGGUAUUUCCUUUUGUCACGGCGUUGGUCAGUCUUUGCGGGGCACCUUUGCUGGGUUUAUUUACACUAGGUGUGCUUUUUCCGCGUGCAAAUAGCAAAGGUGCUCUGAUUGGAGCCGUUUCGGCUGUAUUAUCAACAGGAUGGCUUGUGAUUGGAAAUAUAACGUAUUCCACCAGAGGGUUGCUACGAAAUGAAAGGAAACCCUUGUCCAUAGCACAAUGCGAUGUUAAAUUAAACCGCAAGUUGACGAGUUAUGCUAGUGAAGAAGAAGUUUUUAUCUUAUACAGGAUCGCAUUUUGGUAUUACGCGCUUGCUGGCACAGUCAUAACUGUUACAGUAGGGGUUGUUGUUAGUUGCUGUACGAAACGAGAAGGUACAAUUAAUCCUACCCUUGUGAAUCCGAUGGUUCGUCGUUUCUUACACACGGAUACAUAUCCUCACGUUUCCUACAAUGCAGAUGACGUUAUUGUUAACGAGAAGAUUUAAUUGUGUUAAUUGUGAAGUUAAAAACAUUUUUGUAAUUUGUAAAAUCAUGUAUAAAUGUUUCUUUCGGCAAAACUUAAACGACACUAAGCUGUAAAACCUACUUCUUGUACCUUAAUACCGGGUGAUCGAAAAAAACUGCAGACAAUUUAAAUUGGGGCUUUAAAUUUUUAGUGUUUUUUACUUAAGGAAUUGGCAAACAUGUUUAGAAGUUGGUUUAUUUAUGCAUUAAUUGCCAUCCAUUGGCGUAGUGUUUUAUGUGAAUUUUAUUUUCUAAUCUUCGUACUGUGAUCCAUGCGUUUCAAAGCAAACAGCUCUUUUUAAAAAGGUCUUCGCACGUGCAUCAUUUUGUAAAGGCAUAAAGGCUUUAAAGGGGAUGUCUUUUGAUGCACAAUUGAAAGGCGUACACGACAUACAUGUUUAAAAGAUGCUCAUAUUCGACUCAGUUGUGCUUACUGCAAUUCAACGAUAAAUGUGCUACUUACCAUGAUGUCGAAAGUGUAAAAAAAACGUAGCCCCAAGAAAUGCUUUCCGAAAAUUCUCUAAUGAAGUUGACUUAUCGCAUAAUAUGUGGCACAAAAUUUAACACAUUGAUAUCGGAAUGUUAUCAUCCAGUGUUGAUGACGUUAAUUUAUGAGAAGACGUCUUAUUGUAUGUAGGCAAAUAAAAUGAACCUUACAGUGAUGGUUUAAUGAGCAUGACUAUUGCUCGGGAAACGUUGGAAUAGAUAUUUGAAUACAUGAACCCGAGCGUUCAACUGAGCUUGAUAAAUUAAUUUUUUUUAAUUAAUUAAUUGUGAUUAUUGUUUAGUGAUCCAUUAAAUUGAUCCACCACUGCUUUUAAA